rnacentral:rRNA from 1 species
CAGUAGCCGCGGGAAUACGAGGGGGGCAAGCGUUGUUCGGAAUUAUUGGGCGUAAAGGGUGCGUAGGCGGUUCAGCAAGUCUCGUGUGAAAUCUUCGGGCUCAACCCGAAGUCUGCACGGGAAACUACUGGGCUUGAGUAAUGGAGAGGUGAGUGGAAUUUCCGGUGUAGCGGUGAAAUGCGUAGAUAUCGGAAGGAACACCUGUGGCGAAAGCGGCUCACUGGACAUUUACUGACGCUGAUGCACGAAAGCUAGGGGAGCAAACAGGAUUAGAUACCCGCGUAGUCCCUGUCUCUUAUAC